GACGAACGCUGGCGGCGUGCUUAACACAUGCAAGUCGAACGGAAAGGCCCUGCUUGCAGGGUGCUCGAGUGGCGAACGGGUGAGUAACACGUGGGUGAUCUGCCCCUUACUUUGGGAUAAGCCUGGGAAACUGGGUCUAAUACUGGAUAGGACCAUGCUGCAGGUGGUGUGGUGGAAAGAUUAUCUGCGGUAGGGGAUGAGCUGGCGGCCGAUCAGCUUGUUGGUGGGGUAAUGGCCUACCAAGGCGUCGACGGGUAGCCGGCCUGAGAGGGUGGACGGCAAGGUUGGGACUGAGACGCGACGCAGAAGCCUACGGGAGGCAGCAGUGGGGGAUAGUGUGCAAUGGGCGCAAGCCUGAUGCGGCGAAGGCGCGUGGGGGAUGAAGGCCUUCGGGUUGUAAACACCUGUAGGAGGUGAAGAAGCCCUUGUGGUGACGGUAGUGGAAGAAGAAGCACCGGCUAACUACGUG
rnacentral:rRNA from 1 species